GUAGGUGGCAAGCGUUGUCCGGAAUUAUUGGGCGUAAAGCGCGCGCAGGUGGUUCUUUAAGUCUGAUGUGAAAGCCCCCGGCUCAACCGGGGAGGGUCAUUGGAAACUGGGGAACUUGAGUGCAGGAGAGGAAAGUGGAAUUCCACGUGUAGCGGUGAAAUGCGUAGAUAUGUGGAGGAACACCAGUGGCGAAGGCGACUUUCUGGCCUGUAACUGACACUGAGGCGCGAAAGCGUGGGGAGCAAACAGGGAUUAGAUACCCUGGUAGUCCACGCCGUAAACGAUGAGUGCUAAGUGUUGGGGGGGUUUCCGCCCCCUCAGUGCUGCAGCUAACGCAUUAAGCACUCCGCCUGGGGAUACGGCCGCAAGACUG
rnacentral:rRNA from 1 species